rnacentral:misc_RNA from 1 species
GUAAAUAAACAACCAAAGGUUCAUGAAACAUUUAAACUACACGAGAGUAAAACUUUUAAAUUGACUUGCAUACCAGUUCCAAUCAAGUGGAACCCAAACUACCAUCGCCAGAACUUGAAGCUCCGCCUGCAGUGCCUGCCGCUUCCUUCUUUCUGUCCUCCUCAUACUCUGAAUCAUCCGUUGGCAACUCAAACCUACAAACAGGACAAGAAUUCCUAGAACCCAACCACGGCACAAUGCAGUCCCUAUGGUACCCAUGUCCACAAGGCAAUUUCGUCUCCGUUUCACCAACAUUAACCAUAUCCUUGCAUAUGGCACAUACCAGAGUCUCCGCCUCUGACGUGAUCUCAAUCGUUGGCAACGCUGACACUGCAGAUUUUGCCGCAGGUGGAGCCCCUCUCCUUCCACCAUCACUCUCAGCCAAGUUCUGCAGCAGCGCCUCGUAUCCAGCGGCAUCCACGUAAUCCUCCGGAUUGCCUAUGUAUCUAUCGGUUUCCGGGACUUCAAGGCGAAAUUCAAUCGAGUUGUCUUCCAGUCCCAUCAGAAUCUCAGCCCAGUCAAGGAUCCGGUUACGCCCACUCCUCGCUCGGGUGGCAAAGUCCCGGAUCCGGAGACGGAGAAUAUCGCGCUGCCUUGACCUCAGAUCUUCAAAAUCUUCCUCUCUGUUCUCUUCAUUCUCGUUAUCAGAUCGAUCCUCCCCUUCUUCAUCGUCAUGCUCUCCUUCAUCUCUGUUCCCUUCGUUUUCGU